AUAGAAAGAGAGCACAUCGUGCAAGGUAGCACACCUCCCUACCAGGACAUCCUGGCUGGCUGCUGGUUGUCUCUGUUCUCUGCAAACCCCUUAGCCUCAAAUUCUUGCUUCCACAGGCCUAACUUGCUUGGAGGACUGACUGGUCAAACUGAAGAAAUCUAAUUUGUGUUUACAUUUUUCCACUGAUUCACAUGCAGUAUUUUGGUAAACUUGAAGAGACCAAAUACCAAACCUUGCUGCAACAGUGACUGGAACUUAUCGGGGCCGAACUCUGAAAGAAUAUGAAAUUAUGAAGAUUGCUAUGACAGAAGAUACCACCAAUUCACGCUGAAGUGAAGAAGUGGAGUACUCUACAUAUGCCAUAAGUUCAGUCACCCAGCUGUGAUCUUCCCUGUACCUGAGCAAUGUCUCAACAAAAUCCCAUGUGUGCGUCUGUGUAUGUAAAUGUAUAUAUAUGGACAGAUUUGUACCAACUCUGCAUUGUUACACUUGACUUACUCUUUUUUUUAAUUAUGUAAAAAAAUCACAUUAAGCUGAAUCUAAUUACUGCAAUGUAUAUUAGAAGCAGGGCACCAUCAAAAUUUUAUUUAAAUUAAUCAGGUUUUGAUUUAAGAUAUUAAAUUCAAAUUAAUCAUGUAAAAAUGGAAAUGAUCCUUGACGUGCUUCCAGCUGUGACUUCAGUCUGUUUUCUCGUGUGAGUCACUUUCGGGAUGUCUUGGGGGGAACAUUACGAAAAUUCACGCCGGUGCUAUUUCAAUUAGAGUUAUUUAGCAGGACAGAUGUAAAGAAUACGGUAUAAUUAAGAAGGAGCUGAUGACACGGCUACAGAUUUUCAGGAUCAAAAAAAACCUGUUAGUGAAAAUUGACUACUGGUCAUGUAGUCCAAGUUCAAAUAUGCUGGGGUUAAGCACUCAUUAAUGAUGGAAUAAGGUCUUUAGAUAGACCAUUGGACUCUUUCUCCGGAGCAAUAUGCAGAAUUCUUCCCUGGAAAUAACUUUGAAGCUUCAUUAGCAAGCAGAUGAUACCUGAUAACAUAAUUUUAAAAUUCUUAAAAUAAUUUUCCACCCCCUAGUGUCUAAUCUUUAUCUGGCUAGCUAACUUCAAAGGCCUUUAGGAAAACAUGUAAGAGACAUAUAAAUGACCAGGUAAGAGCACAUAUACACAGAGAAAUGUAUAUGUGUAUACUCAAAGCAUUGUUAAACUCAUGAUGAAUAUGAGCUGCCAGGAAUACUGCUAUUUUUUCUACUGCUCUUUAGCAGAAUGAGAGACUGUACUAGUUGCACAUUUCCUGACUGAAAUCAACAAAGAGAAUGGGGGCUUUCCCAUGCAGAGGCCUGACUUUGUGUUUAUUUAUAACUCUUUAAAUGAUCAGUAUUUCCAUUGUGAAAAGUGAACUGCUCAUUGUUUCUUUACUCAAGUAUAGAGUGAUGCAAAUGCAAAUGUGCCGCAAUACUAUGCAGCGUGAACCUUGGAAGUUAUUUUUUCAAAUUAUUUUACCUCAAAUCUAUUCUCCCAUGUAAAAGUCGACAUGGAAAAAGAUCAGAGGGACUAUAAUCCUUUCCUUCUCAUACUCAUAGUUGUCCUGAAAAUAUGCAUCUUUAAACAUGCUUCUUAUAGUUGCUAUCCAGGGCUCUCAGUAUCUGCAUCCCUCCUACUGAGUAAUAGCAAAAGCCAAGUUAAAUUUAAAAAAUGCACAGUACAUACUGUACACUCAUAAUUAUAGAUUAAAUAUUGAUCUCCAUGGUGUUUUUUCCAUUUCACUGGCAAUCUUUCUCUUUCCAAAGCAAUGUCCUGUUGUCACUUCACUCUGAAAAGCAUUACCAAGUGAAAAUAUUUUCUGCAACUAAAACCAUUGCUUUUGGCUAAAAUUUAAACAAAUCAAACUAUAGCAGGUGACAAUAAAAUAAUUUAAAUGUCUAGUUCUGUAUAUCUGGUAACAUUUUUCAGAAGCCAAUCUUAGAAUUUGUAGUCACAUUAUUUGCUUGUUCAAGGAGCAGCACACAGCAGUAGCUAAAGGAGAAGCAGUGCACCAGACCAAGUGUUCCUGGCUAUCCAUAAUAGAUGAAAAUUAAAUAGCAUAUUACACUUGCCAUGGCAUACCUAUUAUGUAGAUUUCUAGGCAGGAAAUUGUCUGCAAAACAGAUACAUAGUAGGCAUAAACUUUUUGUUAUUAGGGUAGUUGAUCAUGGUGUUAUUACAGUUGUAGGAAUAUAAUGAUUCAUUGAGGAUUUCUGCUUCCCACUCAGAAGAUAUAAACCAACAUAAUGAUUGUUCUUUAAUAGUAUUUAAAGAUAUUUUAAAAACAAAUUGCGCAGGAGUUUUGCAUAAUAAUGGUUUCAGUUUUCCAGGAAAUGCUUUUUUGGGAAGUGCAUAACUGUUUAAAUAUUAAAAAUGGCUCCUCAUAAUAAACUUGAAUGUAGUAAGCAACCUAUGAGAAAGGAUAUGAUAAAAAAUAUGCUCAAUUUUGUCCUUUUAAAAUUUAUUUUUUCUUUAGACAUAACAGCUGGAAAGAACAAUUAUUUUUUUUCAUGAACUAGGUUGUUGUCUGGAUAACUGAGAUGCAUUUUCCCAUGAGAGAUACACAGGUUCAUUUCCCAUCUGGGUAUCUUUCCCCUCCUGUUUCCUUUCUCCCUCCAACUCCCCUCUUGCAGGACUAGAACAUAUUGAUAAUGAACCAUUGGUUUCCAUUUCACACCCAAGAGAUUGUACGAAACACAAAGCUGCUCUGUGUGAAGCAUAGAUUAGCCCAAAGAUGUUUGUUCACAUUUUUCUCAAUCUUUCAUCCAUGCCUGUAUGGGUGGAUUCCCCUAAUAGCAGGGACUCAUUUGUAGGUUGAGGACACAAGUAGUUUAGAUUGGAUUCUUUGAUCAAGUUAGAAGUGAAGUUGAUGAUCCCAGGAUGGAAACCUCAGAUGCCUUUAGAGAUCCUAUGGGGAGGACAGUUGGACAGGGUUGAGUCUCACUCCUUACCAAGCAAAACUGGCCUUAACAAUGGUGGUUGGCCAUGGUCUUAACAUCUGUUUAUGAGAGGGCAAAGCUAAGUUCUCCUGAUUUCUGGUGUUUUCUUUAAUUUUAAAUCACUAUGAAAAUACAUAUUUUUAAUAAAUUUUUAGUUAAUUCAUUUUCUUUAGCCAAAAUGUAUAAACCUCUGUCUGUCGCUCAUUGAUUUACAACAUGUCUGACAAAACAUAAGUCUUAAGGUAUCAUGGGUCUCUAGAAUUGAGCCUGGUUAGUAUACCAGAAAAUUAUAUAUGAAAGAUGCGACUUUUGCAACUGGAACCUUCAUUCCAAGGAUAUGUUGAGGUCUUUCUCUCCAGGGGCAAUUGACAGAUGCACCUGGGCCGACUCAAUGAGUAAAGCUUGUACUUGGGGAGAAUUGUCCUGAGAGAAGGAGGAUCUGCAAAGGCGAAACCUUAAUUUUUACCAGUUUUAAUGAGUCAUUUUGGAGGCAUUUUGUGUCUCUGUCUACUAGUAGCACUCUAGCUAAGGCUGUAGUGGCUUUUCAUCCCUGGAUAACUGAGUUUGUUCUCCUCUGUUUGCACAGCACAGUCAGCAUUGGCCCUCAUAAUAUAUGCUUUUAUUCCUUCUAAGACCAGCAAGAAAAGAUACAUAAUAUCUUAUAGACAGACAUGCUAAUUUUGAAAGUGAUUUUCCCAGCAGCAGAACAUGCCCCAUGUUUUCCAUCUAGAAGUCAAAUGUUUAUGAUUAACUUUAGAAAACUCUUUUUUAGGAUACUGAGGCAUGAAUAUGCCUGUAGAAACGCCUCUUUCAGUGGCCUUGCAAAGUUCCCUCUGUGAAAUGGUUAAAGAAAUUUUCAGAGGAGAGGUCCUCACUUACCAGCUGUGAACACACAGCGUGCAAUGCCAGUGGAAGAGUCUGGGCAAGUCAGUGAAAAGAAAGCUAAUUACACUGAAAGAAAUCUCCACAUUCAGCAUACAUUAGCCAACCCAACAAAUCACUGACACAGUACAGAACCUGAAACCACCCAAAAUACUAAGCUUGACUGUUAAUUAAAAACCAGGUCCCUAAUUCCAGGCCACUCUGCUCUAAGAAGCAAUAAACACUGACAAACAGCAGAAGUCAAUGCUGCAAGCCUUUCCACUGAGGAUAGUUAAACAGGCAGUGAAGCCAAUUUUCCAGGUUUCAUCAGGAACCAUGCCAUCUUUUGUGUUGUUAUUAACACCUGUAGAAUUAAAAGGAAAAAAAAAACAAAAAACAAAAAACAACAAAAAAACAACAAAAAAACAAAAAACAACCCACAAUCUCUUCUAUUUUAUUUUAAUGAUAUGAACAUUUCUACCUAUCCUGUUUGCAAAGAACAGUUUGGACAAUGAACACUGUAAGGUUGAGAAAAUUCAGUUUUUAAAAUAAACUAAUAUUUAAGAUGGGCUUUAAAGAUAUUGUUAUUUCUACACUCAUCUCACAUUCUUUUGGGACCUGAUUCUGAACUUUUGAGUUUUGCAGUCUGUCAAUAUUAGAUUCUGGUUCACAUAUAUGUUCACAUCCUAACCUGGUGGAGUGGGUGAGGUACUGGAAAAACUUGAAAUUGUAUAUAGAUUGUAUAUGGAAUCUGUCUCUUGAUUAACACACUCAAAGUAGAAUAGAAUGGCACAGGAUUUUGUUUUGGUAUCAAGAUAUUUUAGAGUUGGAUACGAUAGUAUCCUAUUCAAUCUAACAUUAGUA